AGAUUAUAAGCAACGCAUUUCAUUGUUACUGAAAAGAAGAUAUUAUUAUUUU
rnacentral:tRNA from 1 species